CUUGUAAAUUUUAAAGGAGUAAUUAUUAAAGGGGUAAAAAAUAAUUAAUGGUAUAAUAAUUAAUGAUGCUUGCUAGGAAGUUAAUAAAAAACUUAAAAUAAAGUGUUACUUUGUUAACCAAGUCUCCCAGGGUUAACAUAUUUAACUCUUAAAGAGGAGUUAAAUGUUAAGGAGGUUAAAAGUUAACCUAUUCUUUUAUAGCUUCCAAACAACAUUAAUGAGAGAUUAAAAGUUAACCCUCAUUAACCCCCUACCAAAUACCCCAUAAGUAGAAACUUGGAAGCUUAAAUUAGCUACUCCAGCCGAACUUGUCAUCACAUUACAAUAUUUGAAUAGAGUAAAUAUUACAACCAUGCCCCUACCGUUUGUGAUCAGUUUCAUUUUAAAUUCCAAACUUUAAACCAGUGCAAUACCUUAAUCUUCAUCAACUACUGCAAUACCAACGAUAUAACCUUUAUAAACAGUCGCAAUAUGAGAAGCCACAGAAUUUUUCUCCUUGUAAUUCCUUCAUCCCAUUUUUCUUCAAUACAACUAGCCUAGACCUAUAAUUAUCAGAAAUAUUUAAUCUAAUACAUAUAGUUUACAUGAAACAGUUGAUAAUGUGUAAAAUCCUGAAGAGAAGUUUAAUCUAAGACUAAAUCUUUUUAUUUUUGAUUCGCCUAGCAAUAGUUGUUGCCUGUAAAACUGAAUCCAAUGCUUCUUUUAUUCAUAGAGCAUUUUUCUUUGACAUAUUAUUUGGAAUGUUCCCUGGAAAAAUGAAUGAAAAAUUCAAAGAGUAAAGGAAAUAGGUAUCUUAAUGGUUUUUAGAUAACAAGAACACAUUACAACGAUUUAAAGGUUGUGGUUUAAAAUGAUAUCAACCCCAAAACUCAAGGACCUAGGGGCAAUUUUUCCAUUCAUUUAUAUUCUCACAAUUACUAGUGCCAAAAAGAAAAUUUGUCAACCAAGUUUUUGAACUUGUUGGAUCUAAGGUUUACAUUCUUGUUCUGGUUUCUAGCUUAGAAUAUCAAUACUUAUACCACUGUGAUUUACUGACCAAGGCAAUUCAUAUAAAUACGAGAGCUGCCAGGGAGCAGAUACAAAUUCUUGUUGGUGAAAGUAUCAUCGGUUUUUUUCACAAAUGGUUCCAUAAAUCGUUCCCUUACCAUCCUACUCAACAUGAAUAAAUGAUAUCAAUCUAAGAAUCCACAAUAAAGGUAGGUGAGGGUACCUAGUCAACCUUAUCGUCCGAAGGCCCAUAGUAAAGGUAGGUAAGGGUACCUAGUCAACCUUAUCAUCUGAAGGCCCACAUAUCCAAUUUGCCCUCCAAAUGAUGGAAUGGGAAAGAAGGCGUUCUGUUUUCCAACCUGAUAAACUUAACUUUUGAAGGAAAUCUUUGUAAUGUUUAUCCAUCCAUGAUUGGCUCUCCAAAUGCACAGAUGUAUUUUCUUCCAUAAGUUUUGCCAUAACCAGUGCAUGAAUAAACGAUUGCAAGACAUCUGAAGAUGUUGAAUUUUUGUGCAUCAAAAUGCUGAUGCUUGUCUUCCUCUCCACUAGCAAGUACUUUGCUUUCCGAUGAGAUCCUGCAGAACGUAACAGCUCCGUCAUUUCCUGGUGAUCAAGUGAAGAAACUCUCACACCCAAGUGUACUUGCUUAUGCAACAAUUUAACAUUCUUUGAGCUCCAAAACGUGGUCCAUUUGGGUAAAAUAUGUUCCAUCCUAGAGACCUGUUCAGGGGAGAGAGCUGGCAACAAAUUCAGAUGUUAGCAUUAAAAUCAAAGUAGCAAGAUAAACGAAUUAGGAUAAGAACUAAAAUGUAUUCAGGUAUUGUAAAAUGGACAUGAAACCUCAGCCCUUGCACAACAUGCUAAUUAUUUUGCCUUUCGCUUGCAAAAGAAUAAAAUGAAGAAUGUGAAUGGUAUAGAAUGACCAUUUCCCAAGCCUUUUUUUUUGUUUUCCUUCAUUCUACAAAGUUAACAUCUAAGCAAACUGGAUGAUUGUGCUCAGGUCUGCCUAGGACAUUCCCUUGGAUGCUUCACCCAUUACAGAGGACUGUUUCAAAUUGUAGUCAUCACUUACCUUGGCCUGUCUCCAUGAAAUGCUGCAAAAGAAUUGAGCUCCUUUGCAUAUUUAAAGAUGUCAGUACAAGGCACCGAACAGCCCUGUAGUUUGCAUACAUAUGGAACAAGGUGAGAGAAAGAAACGAAAACCAGAUAGCUAAGGGGUGUCCAAUUGUUAUGCGAGCAAGGAGCAUCCCCAAUGCCAUGCCAGUCAUUGUUGCCAGUGUUUCUUGACUUCCUUCCUUGGCAGAUAUAUCUGCUGCAUUAUUCUCAAGAGCAAAAUGCUGUGUCAACGCAGCUCUAGUUGCACCACUGGCAACACCAGUGAAUGAUCUUGAUAGGCUCCCUAAGCAAACCACCAAUACAAAUGCUGAAGGAAACAAAGGAGAUACGAGGUCCAUCAACAUUCCAAGAUCAUUCAUAAGAUCUGCAACCAAACGCCACAUUUUGGCAUUGCUAUCCAGAUUUGAGCCCUGGUAAAAUGUGAAUAGUAUCCCUCCAAGCAUUCCAGUCAAGUCCCUCAAAAACCACUGAAAUGUGGCGCCAAUGACAGUCGCUGAUUUCUCUCCAACCCCAAUUGCACUUAAGAGAGCUUGUGUAGAAAGCAUGGUCCUUAUGUAAGUCGAAAGACCCUGCAACGAAUCCCACACUUGAAAAGGGACAUAAUCUGAUGUUACACUGCUUGGAAAACCCUCAGGUACAAAUGCUUGAAGGACGCGUCUCCAAACGUGAUCAAAACGGCUACCAGAUCUUUGGAUGGAAAGAGAAGGAGAAGCGGUGAUAGUAGCAGUUUUAGAGAGCUUGGUUGAAGAAGAGCCAUUCCAUUCUUCGACUAUAACGAUCUCCCCUUUUGCUUCGCCUGAUACACCUUCCAUGGCUGACGCUCUCACCAUUGGAUCGUCCUCUGAAGUCUGGACUUGGAAGUCUUCAAUAGUUGAAAAUGAUGAACGUACAGA
rnacentral:misc_RNA from 1 species